AAUACACCACGCAAGCCAUUUAUUGACACAUCAAACAUCCUAGACACUACAAGAGAUUUCUUAAUAAGUUAUUUUCGACCCAAGAAGCAGCGGGAGAAAACCUGCGAGGCUUCAAGCGCUUCCAACUUUGAGAUCUAGUCGUAAAGCAGCAAACAGAAACGCAGCAGUACUCUCCACAAAGCGCCGCUCUUAUGCAUGCUCAACUGAAAUGCCAGAUGCUUUUAAGCCGGAGACGGAGCUCUGCGUGCAGCCGAAGAGCCGAAGACGCUGCGGCGCUUUUCCUCUCCUUAGCUCGGCUGAAGUUGUCAGGGGGGCACCGGGAGAAGAGAGAGCCGCCGCCGCCACGUUGGAUCCGGACAACAUGCAGCAUCCAGCUAUCCUUUUUCAAGUCUUUGUGCACACACCUUACACUAAGGACAUUACACUGAUUUACGGAGCCAAAUACAAAAGCAAUUAGUUUUUCUCCGAGCAGCAGCAACAGCAGCAGUAGUGCGGGCGAAAACGGACCCCGACGACUUUGCUGCUGAGCUGAAACUGCUAAUUUCUGGGACCAGCCUUUUUUUGGCUGUGAACUGGAUGGAUGAAUGGCUUGUCUCGCACAAAUGACAAAAAGCCCCUGCCUUAAUCUCCAUCGCCAAAAUAACCCUCUCAUCUCAUUCUGCUCCUGCUAGUCCUUCAAAAGAAGAUGCUGUGCACUAACCCAAGUUUCGCAUCUGUAUAAUAAAUAGCAUCCACCAUGGUGUACAUAGUGAAGUGUAAGCGUUUAAAUUCCUCCUUUCAUCUUCUGACAAAGGCAUCUCAUGUAAUAAAAACAGCACACAUCCUCAAAGUGAUCCAAAGUUUAUAGAAACAAGAACAAAAAGUGGCUUAUUAUGAACUACAAUGAUGUUUGGUCAGCUUGUUAUUAAAUAAACUAAAAUGAAAAAUGAUUUCAACACCCA